GGUUCGUCCUCACUCGACCAUAGCUCCUCCCACUUCCUCGUCCGUAUAUAAAAGCAUCGCCAGCCAUUGUCCUUCAUUGUCGAUUCGAGUGCUGACACGUAAGGUUUCGACGAUGAGGUGGAUCGCUUUGACUUUCUUGUUGUUGUCAUCCUUAAUGGUGGCGACAGAAGCGCGACCCCAAGGCAGAUUCCUGCCGAAAUUUCCUACAAGAGGGCCUUUCAUCCCUCCAUUCCCAUGCAAUUGCACGUUCCCACCGUGUCCUUGUGAUCCUCCUGGAACCAUCGACUCCUUAAGGGCAAAACGACGCGUGUAAGGAGGUCUCCGGAAGGCCCUGCGAGUCUUCAGGGUGGUUUUCCUUGUCGUCCACGUGCUCGGACUCUCUUAAGUGCUUUUUCUUCAAGGUUUUUUAUUGUCUAUGUUAAUUAGUUGGUUUUCCAUUUGUCUGUAAAAGUUAUUCGCGUCUUGUACAAGUUAUUGAGAUUUCCUUAUCGUCAGUGCAAGCUAUCAAGUGUUUUCUUCGUGUAAAUAUAACUUAGCAAGGUUUCAUUAGUGCCUGUGCAAACCAUUGUUUUUUGUUUGUUUACACUACUUACCAGGGUUUCCCUAAUGUCUGUCCGAAUCAUUACAUGCUUGUCUGUAUUAGUGCAAGACUUGAAGAGUUCUCCACUUGAUUCGGCUAUCUGUAGUUAUGCUAAAAAUAAAUUGUCAUAAAUGU